rnacentral:lncRNA from 1 species
CAAAACUCUUGAGUAUAUAGCAGCCUGCUGCCUGUUCACUUACCAUCUGUGGGUGUGCUGUGCAUCCCAAAGGCGAGAUUUUUGUUCUCCAGGAUCUGGAGGGCAUGGCGGAGGCAUCCGAAAUCAGAGUGUAGCGCAUCCUCAGGCUGCCGAGAUGAGGGCGAGCCAUGCAGUACAGGGAAAGAUUGCUGCUGACUCCGGUGGUCCAGGGGGAGCCGGUCCGGAACCCUCGUCUACUCCUGGACCCAACCGGCACCGCACCCCCACCCCCGCUUUCCCAGCUGCUUUGCAGCGCUCCCAGGACGCCUCCAGGUGGCGCGCUGCUGUCCCGUCCUUCCAACCCAGCCUCAGUCACUGCUCCAGAGAUGGGGAGGGCCAGCUUCUCUGGAGAUGGAACCUGGAGCGGUCAAAAUAAUCCUGGGCAUAGGGGUGGAGGCGGGGAGGAGAGUGUGGCUCGGGGCGCCUCCCGGGAUGCCUGGUGCUGCCAGAGCUGGAGGAGCUGGGGCGGGCCGCGCCGGGAUCGGGGAUUCCUUGGGAGUGUUCAAAGCUGCGUGGAUCUGGUCCAGUCCCUCGAUCGCGUAGGAGCAGAAAGGAGGAAGGAUCUCAUGGAUGGAGCGGAGCCGGGAUCAGAACAAAAAUGUUAUCUGUUAGACUUGCGCUGUGAAGAAGAUGAGAAUGGAUGUGACCUCUUCCUGGGACAGAUGACAGAUUGUCAAUGAUUUUCUUUGGAUUAUUGGCCAAGGUUUGGCAGCCCGGAGAUUUUUUUGGAGGUAAGUGAGAUUAUAGGGACUUAGAACUAGUAUGUGUACAUGAUACCAUUUAGUUAGGCUUCCCAUUCUUUAAAUCAUCUCUUUGUUUGUAAACAGGUGACAAACAUAAAAUAAAAACAGUUAUGUUGGUUUGGGCUAAGAGGUAGUAAGUAUAUUUGAGAAAUCUUCCCCUAUUUUUCUAUGAGAGACUGAAUGUACUUACCAAUGUAUAAAAGGUAGUAUGCUAUAGAAAAUUGAGAAUUGGACUCAGAGUCAGGAAUAGUGGGUUGAAAUUUCAAUUUUGAUGCAUAUUGAUGGUGGGACAUAGGGUAUAUCAGUUAAAAUCUUACUCAGGACUCUAGGCAACUGAGACUAAAAGUUCCAGAGAAGGGUCUUCUUUUUAUGGGAAGAGGGACUUUUCUUGUCUAUGAACUUCAUACCCAAUUAAACCCCAAAUCUAGGAUAGACAGUCAGGUAGACAGACAGACAGACAGUUAGAUAGAGGUACCUAAGUGGCACUGUGAAUAAUGACCAGAGCUUGGAGACAGGAGACUUAUUUAGUUCUGAUCCCAUAUAGUUAAUAUCUGUGUGAACCUGAACAAGUCACUUCUGUCUUCCUCAGUUUCUUUGACAAAAAUAAGAAUAAUAAUAACAUUUUCCUUUUAGGGUUUGUUAACCCUGAAAAUAUCAAAGACUUCUCAGAGGUUAUAUACAAACUGUCAAUUCUGAAAAAUAAAAUAAAAUAAAGCAAAAAGACACAGAAGUUAUUACACCAAUUGUCAGCUCUGACCAAAAAAAGACACAAAGAUAAUAGCAAAAACUUUAUACCAAUUGUCAGUUUUGAAAAAUGAAAUAAAUUACCCAAGUGCUCAUGGAGGUUAGAGGCAAAAAAAUCUUUCUUAAUUUUCUUGGAGGAGGGAAACUAGACACAUGUUCUUGUCCUCUAAGGCCAAGGAGAUGGAAAGCAGUGAGACUAAGCUUUGGGACAUAUACUUGUGGCUAGACAACUAAGUAGUUAGGUGUAACUGCAAUAGUGAAGUGUAACCACAGCUCUGACUACUAACAAUGAGGCA